CGAACGCUGGCGGCGUGCUUAACACAUGCAAGUCGAACGGAAGGGCCUCUUUCGGGGGGUACUCGAGUGGCGAACGGGUGAGUAACACGUGAGUAACCUGCCCUUGACUUUGGGAUAACUUCAGGAAACUGGGGCUAAUACCGGAUAGGAGCUCCUGCUGCAUGGUGGGGGUUGGAAAGUUUCGGCGGUUGGGGAUGGACUCGCGGCUUAUCAGCUUGUUGGUGGGGUAGUGGCUUACCAAGGCUUUGACGGGUAGCCGGCCUGAGAGGGUGACCGGCCACAUUGGGACUGAGAUACGGCCCAGACUCCUACGGGAGGCAGCAGUGGGGAAUAUUGCACAAUGGGUGGAAGCCUGAUGCAGCAACGCCGUGUGCGGGAUGACGGCCUUCGGGUUGUAAACCGCUUUCGCUCAUGACGAAGCUUUGUGUGACGGUAGUGGGUAAAGAAGCACCGGCUAACUACGUG
rnacentral:rRNA from 1 species